rnacentral:tRNA from 1 species
CCUUAAGUAACCUAAAAUUAAGGUGCUAAACUUUUAAUUUAGUUAUGAUAAGAUUAUCCUUAGGGG